rnacentral:rRNA from 1 species
AGUCUUGUGACGGCGUACCUUUUGUAUAAUGGGUCAUCGACUUAGUGUAUCUAGCAAGCUUAAGCCGUUAGGUGUAGGCGCAGCGAAAGCGAGUCUUAAUAGGGCGACUGAGUUAGAUGCAUUAGACCCGAAACCGAGUGAUCUAGGCAUGACCAGGAUGAAGGUAAGGUAACACUUACUGGAGGUCCGAACCCACACCUGUUGAAAAAGGUCGGGAUGAGUUGUGCCUAGGGGUGAAAGGCCAAUCAAACUCGGAGAUAGCUGGUUCUCUGCGAAAUCUAUUUAGGUAGAGCGUCAUCCGAAUACCCCGGGGGGUAGAGCACUGGAUGGGUAAUGGGGCCCCACAGGCUUACUGAUCCUAACCAAACUCCGAAUACCCGGGAGUACUAGAUGGCAGACACACU